UCAGUUGGUUUCACUGGUAAGUCGG
rnacentral:piRNA from 1 species